rnacentral:lncRNA from 1 species
GUUAGUUUUGCUCGAGGCUCACCGGAGUGAAUCGCUAUACAUGUCCUGUCUACCAGUUUACAUUGGCAGAAUGUGCUAAAUUAAUAUAAAUGCUGUAUUGUCUCACUCUCCAAACCUGCAUGGGCUUUUCUGCAGAGCACUUUAACCAAUAGUGACAGUCUCACCUGCCUGCUUUUACCUUGUCUUUACUCAGCCAAGAUCACUCCUCCCCAAAACAGUUUAGUCACAAUAAGUGUUUCAUGUUGGGGGUAGAAAUGUCCUCGACAUCAUAAACAAACCUUUGUUGUAGGAGUUGUACCUUCAUUUUUUUAAGCAGUUGCAGCCUUUGCUGAAAAGCUUAAUCUGGAUCCUGAUUCCUGGCCCUAAAUUAUGGAACAGCCUCCCAUUUUAUAUCAGAUCUGCUGCCUGCUUAGAGACUUUUAAAACCAGACUUCAAAUGUUCUUUUACAUACAGGCAUUUCCUGGAUUUUAAUUAAGUGUUGUGGUCUUUUUAGUACCUUUGAGUUCAGUCUGAGGUUGUGCUUUUAGUUCAGACUGAGUUAGCCCGAUUGGUUUUGGUGAAGUCUACUCCUAACUCUAAUUUAUUGGUCUUUUAUGGUGUUUUACUUUUAUUUGGUUUACUUAUCCAUUUUUAUGGUUGUAUUUUAUUUAUUUUCCAUUUUAUCUAUGUGGUAGGGUGAUCCCUGCUAAUUAGUAGCUCCACCCAUACCUUUCCCGUGUCUCUACCAGCCUGGGCCUAUUUAAACACGCAGGUGUUUGCAGUUACAUCGUCUGCAGCCCAGAGUAGUGUUGGAACGUUGUCUGCUGGUUGAGCUUGUGGGAAAAAGAUUGCUUGUGUGGCGUGCGUCUAGUUCGUGGUUCUUGGAAGUCAUUAGCGACUAGGAGUUGGAUGUUGGAUUCAUCACGUUCCAUAACCAGCUCUUAUCCAGGACCGUAUAGGUGGAGGUGUAUGGACUGUUACGGUCUCCUGGCCAUAGAUCUAACAUACAGCGUUACAGGUAUGUUGCUGCAAAGGGUGGGUACA